GGUUAAUUAUACAAAUAGGCUGAAACUAAAAUUGUCUUAACUGUUCCAUCACCAUACAUAAGUUGAGGAAGUUACCACCUUAGACUCUCAAGUCUAAAUCAAUUAUUCAAUUACAUAUCCUAGAUUGAAGUUAGAAGGCUAUCCCUCUAUUAGGACAAAUUAUUUUAUAAAAUUACUUCAAAUAUCAUAUAUGCACAUAUUCCUUUUAACAUAAAAAUAUUAGUACUAUGGCUCCAAUUCUCUUAAGUAUUUCUAUACUUACCUCAAAACCUUCUGGAAUGGAAAAAUGAUUAUCCACCUGAAUAAGAUAAUUACUAUCUCACUUAACUGUGGUUGCCAACUCAGUAUGAAAAACAAUCUCGGCCCCAAUUAAUUACAAAUGUUUUUGGUGUGGACACUGCAUUGUUGUCAAGCCCCCUAUUGGAUUGAAUGAACCCUAUUUUUAAAAUGCUAUUUAAUAGUUGCUGGGUCAUGGGCUUUAAGAUUUAAAACAGGGUAGGUUUAGCAGGUCAUGGAUCUCAAAUUCAUGGAUAUAAAAAAUAGGCACAUUUGUUGAGAAGCAUUAAGUUUACCUGCCCCCGUGGCUCCCUUGUGGGGAAUACCUUUUAGUUUGCAAUUAGUGGUAGUUGGGUAACAGCUGUCUACUUGGUAUGUUUUUGAGUUAUGAGUAAAUACAGAACACCUGUUUAUUAAUAAGAAUCACAUGUUUAAGAGAGACUAUCUGGAUGAAAAUCUGCUCCCGGACCUUCAGCCUAGAAUGCUGUGAGCCCAUGAGGCUCUUAGCUUGGAAGCCUGCUGGGCCCCUGGAUAGCCCCACUUUUCUGUUCUAUAUGGGUGUCUGCCUCUCAUUGCCUUCAGCGCCACCUGGAUGGGGGUCACCCAGCCAAGCUGGUACUCAGUAAGUGUUCCCCAAGUGUGGGGACUUGAACCCAGGACAAAGAGUUGCCUGAGCAAUGGAGAGAGGAGAGGCUAAGCUGAAGGUAUCCCAAGUACUCUUGGAAGAAAUACCUGGGGUAAGUUGGGGAGCUCGGAAGGAGUCCAGGAACUUUUGAAAGAGUCUCCCAGGUGAGUUAGGGAGAGCCCAGAAGUAGACCGAGAACCCUUGAAAAAAUCUCCCAGGGUUAGUUGGGGGAGUCCAGAAUUAGCCCAAGAACUCUUGAAAAAAAUCUUGCAGGUUUAAUUGGGGGAGCUUGGAAUUAGCCCAAGAACUCUUGUUAAAAUAUCCCAGGGUGAGCUGGGGGAGCUUGGUGAUAUUAGGGUAACAGGGGACAAAGAUCACGCAAACGCAGGGCUUAUUUGGUGUGGUCUGCCCUGGAGCUGUUUCAGACAGACAAGGAAGAAGAUGAUUCAGGAGAGAAGGAGUAUGAUGAAGUAUGUUGAGAAAUUAUAGAGCAAAAGGAUGAGAAGUCAAACGAGGAAAGGGUGUGUCUGUCAGCCUCCCCUCCCCGAAGCCUUAAUAUCUUGUUGAGGGAUGGCCAGAUCCUCCUGAUAUUUCUACCACUGCUUCUAUUGGCCUGUUUAUUCCCAGAACUAUGGUAACCAGUUCAGGCACUUGUACUUCCAGAACUAUGGUAACCUGUUCCAUCCAAGCUGGAAUUCAACAAGCGAGAAAAGAGGGAGAUUUCAAGUCAUGGCAAUUUCCAGUUGUUGUACACCCUGAAGAUCGGCAGGGGCAAGUACAGGUUGCUUUUGAACCCUUCCCUUUAAAUUGCUGAAGCAGUUUAAACAAGCCAUUACCCAAUACAGGCCUGGGUCUCUGUUUGUGCUAGGAUUACUGAAGAACACAGCUACUUCUUAGGGGCUGAUUCCAAUAGACUGGGAUAUGUUAACCCUAACGUGUUUAUUGCCUUCUCAAUUUUUUCAGUUCAGGACCUGGUGGGUUGAUGAGGCUAAUAUUCAAGCUAGUAUAAAAACAUAUCCUUUUUAUAUUACACAUAUUAGGGCUGAUGCCACUCUCUCAGGGCCUCUCACUGCAGGCAAUCAAUCUACAGAUCGGUUGGUUGCUACAGUUAUAUCUGAUGCUCAAUAUUUCCACAUAUUGACACACUUAAAUGCAGCAGGGCUGCAGAAAAAAUAUAGCUUAACUUGGAGAGAAACCAGAAGGAUUAUUCAGAUUUGUCCAACUUGUCAGUUGGUCAAUUCUCCUCCCAAAUCGGGGGGUGUAAACACCCAGGGGUUAGAACCAAAUACUUUGGCAAAUGGACAUUACUCACAUCUCAUCUUUUGGGAAAUUAGGAUAUGUACAUGUUUGUGUGGAUACUGUUUCACACUUUGGGCUACAUGUCAGACUGGGGAAUCAUCCGCUUGUGUCAAAAGACAUCUUAUACAAUGUUUUGCUGUUAUGGGUAUUCCAUCCUCCAUAAAAACUGAUAAUGCCCCAGGAUAUAUUAAUCUUUAACAGAAUUUUUUACACGAUGGAAGAUCACACAUAUAACAGGUAUUCCACAUAACUCUCAAAGGCAGGCCAUUGUGGAGUGAAUGAAUCUUUCCCUUAAACAGCAGCUACGGAAACAAGGAGGGACAAGGAAUAUCAAACCCCACAAAUGCAGUUAAACCUGAAAUUGCUGGCUUUGAAUUUUUCGAGUUUGCCAAGAGGAGGACAAUUAACAGCAGAUGAACAACACCUGAAUAAAGCAAGGAAGAAACUUCUGCAGGUGCGGAUCCAGAAUCCUCUAAGAAACAGUUCACCAAGAUAGAGCUGUACUUGCUUACCUAGCGUUGUUGAAACAAAGAAGGGGGAAGAUGUUGAGAAACAUUAAGUUUGCCCUGCCCCGUGGCUCCCUUGUGGAGAAUACCUUUUAGUUUGCAAUUAGUGACACAUCAAAACCUCUCAGAUGAGCCACCUAGGAAGACAAACAGGAAGAAAAUGAGGAUAUCAAAAUUGUAACACCUCUCAAGAAUGACUGUGGGGGAAAAGAGGGAUGCAAGUAGUUAAUACUGAAAAAUGAAAGCCACAGGCUGAGAACUAGUCAAUGUGUCAUUAAGCACUACAAGGGAAGAGAAUAGACUAACAAGCUGUCAGAAGUACUUGGGCCUGCUGGGCAGAUGCAUUCUUCUGGCGAAGACCGCUAAGUCUGGCUUGCAUCAUUCCCCAUUCUCUGAUUUCAUCUUCCUUGAGCAUCCUUCAGAUUUGUAUUCCUCAAAGAACGUAAACAUGUUUCAGUGUUGACUAUGUUUUACGUAUAGUAUUUAAUUUUACAGCAAUCCCAGGAGUUGUUCCCCCUAUUUUACAGCUGAGAAAAAAUAGCCAUUUUUUCUUUGCUUUUUUUUUUUCUUUCUUUGAAAUAGGGGUUCACUCUGUCACCCAAACUGGAAUGCAGUGGCAUGAACAGGGCUCUCUGCAGCCUUGACUUCCCAGAAUUGUCUGAUCCUCUCACCUCAGCCUCCCAAGUAGCUGGGACUACAGGCACUUACCACCAUGCCCAGAUAAUUUUUUUUUUUUAAUUUCUGUAGAGACAGAGUUUCACUAUGUACUCAGGAUGGUCUUAAACUCCUAGGCUCAAGCAAUCCUCCUGUCUCAGCAUACCAAAGUCCUGGGAUUUACAGGCAUGAGUCAAGGCAUCUGGCCAUAGCUAGUCAUUUCUGCCAGGAGCUGCCACUCUGGCCUUCAAAUAUCCACAACACUUCUCUUCCCACACAUACAAAACACCACAUCUUUAUCUAAGUGAAGGAUCUCCAUUUGAUGCUUGUUGCCACCAUCAUAUUUAAAUGUAGAUCCACAUAGUAUAGCAACCUAGGAAGCAGAAGUCAACAUAUCUACCCACUCAUGACACACCUGUUAAAUAAAGUGUAGCCUAGAGCUGCCUCCUAACAUACUUGAAGUUCAGCCUAAAGGUUUCUCUGUAUAUAGUGAAUGGUAAUCUAGUUGGAUGUGUAAACAGACUAUAAUCUAUUCUUAAAUCAAUCACCAUAUUUUAGCCAAUCAAAGGCAACCAACUGUUUAUACUAUAUUCAAAUGAGACAAACACCCAGCUGUAAGCAAUCCAGCUGUUUCUGUAUCUCACUUCCGUUUUCUGUAUGUCAUUUUCUUUUUUCUGUCCAUGAAUCCUCUCCAACCACACAGCAGUGCCAGCAGUGUAUCUAUUCUGGUUUAGGGGAACUACCCGAUUUGCAAAUGGUUCUUUGCUCAAUUAAACCACAGAGUGUGUUAAGUUUUUCUUUUAACACAACCAGUAUGCACUGAUGGAUCAGGGGCAAAGUAAAGAUAACAAAAGUAAGCUUCCCAUUUGGAAAGAGACUGAUGGGAAGCUCAGCAGUCCUGGUCUACAGAAGUGAUGAAAUGUUGCAAAGCAGGCAUGGUGAAGACCUCCUAGUCACAUGGCUACAUUGAUUUGUUCAAUCUUAAAAUUGGAUAAACCUUCCACUCCUCCACAUUGUGUAAAGCAAGUUAGUAGGCUGAUCAGCUGAUUUUUAUUGUGUUAUUAAAUAUCUGGCUUUCUAAAUAGAUUACAAGCCUUGUACAAAAUUUCUUAUUCACCACUGUAUCCCAAGUGAUUAACAAAGUGUCUGGCACAUAGGUUAUAUUCAAUAAAUAUUUGUUGAAUGAAUAACAUAACCGUUAUAGUCCACUUGGCCAUUAAAUUUUUCAGUGUAAAUUAGAAAACAGAAAUUUUGAGUUACAUAUCAGUCUUCACUGAAUUUGCUCAGGAUGAAUCAUUCCUCUGGAAGCAGGGUUGCUAGCCUGACUGAGUUUUUUAACUUACAGAGUUAAGAUCUAGUAUAUUGGACAGCCGAUGCCUUGUUUUUUUUUAAAAUAAUGCCUAUAUCAGCAAAAUGCAUACAAUCAUAGGGUUUUGUUGUAUGUUUAUUUGCUUUUCUUGAGAAGCAGAGAAUUGUACACUAGAUUAAUCAUCUAAUUAUGUUUCUUGGCUUGUUGCACACUUUCAACAUCACUGGUCGAAGCCCUUUUUUAUUUUAUGGAUUUAAUGAUAUGAAUAACACCGUACAUUUAUCACCCGACCUGAUGUCUGCUAUGGGCUCCUCUUCUGUUCUGCCCCUAACUUCUCCUCAUCUUGUAGCUUGGAAGUAACCACUAGUCUCCAUUUUGCUUUUCUGUGCCUUAUUUUUCAGUGUUUUCACAUACACGUAUAUUACAUACAUAAUAUUACUAAGAUUCACUCAUGGCGUUGUGUGUAGUUUUAUCUCAUUGAUUUUCCCUUAAGUACAAUGCUCCGCUGUGAAACCCACUAUCAGUUUUCCUGUGUAUGGUCAUUUGGGCUGUUGUCAGUUUUUGGCAGUUGUGAACAGGAAGCUGUGAACAUGCUUGAUAAAUGGAAAAAGUUUCUAGCAGUGGAAAUGCUGAGUCAUAGGUCAUAGAUAAUUCAACUUUAUAAAAUAAUUCAAAUAAUUUUCCGAAGUGGUUAUACCAAUGUAUACUCCCUGCAGUGAUAUACAAGGUCCCACUGGUAUUAUCUAACUUCUUGUUUUCCUUUAAAUUAUAUUUCGAUUUGCCUGACAAUGCCAAUUCUCUAUGAAAAUGCCAAAAUAUAUUUUGAAUGUACUUAUCACAUGAUUUUAGAAUGACCAAAAAAAAGACUGUAAUGCCAAACAAUUUGUAUUUUGGGCUUACAAUAAUGAAUUUUACAUUCAUGUAUGAAUAUAUGUAACAUUGUUUUAAAAUGAGUAACAUUGAUACAGUUAGAAGAAUUUUAUUACUAUGUAAUUUCUUCCCUUUCUAAUUUUUUAUUCCUUAGGGUGGACUAGAGCCUCUAGCAACCCACUAGUCUCUUCCACACUCAUACAAUACUCUGUACAUACCUUUAUCUUAACACUUAGAGCAGAAACUAUUUGCCUUCCUGUAUUAGUCCAUUUUCAUGCUGCUGAUAAAGACAUACCUGUGACUAGGUAAUGAAUAAAGAAAAAGAGGUUUAAUGGGCUCACAGUUCCACAUCGCUGGGGAGACCUCACAAUUAUGACAGAAGGUAAAAGGCACAUCUUACAUGGCAGCAGAGAGAGAAAAUGAGAAAAGGGAAGCCCCUUAUAAAACAAUCAGAUCUCAUGCCUUAUUUGCUACCAUGAGAAAAAUGUGGGGGAAACCGUCCCCAUGAUUCAAUUAUCUCCUUCCACAACACAUGGGAAUUAUGAAUUUCGGGAGCUAAAAUUCAAGAUGAGAUUUUGGUGGGGACACAGCCAAAUCAUAUCACCUCCAAUAUCUGUUCUUUCUUUCUUAUAGUUAUGGAACUUUUAUGUAGGCACAGAGUUGCUAAGGUAAAACUGCCAGCUUUCCUUGUAGGUAGUUAUGGCCAUGUUGCUAUGUCUGUCCAAUGAUAUGUAAGCAGAAGCGACAGGGAGACUUCUGGGUUAUGUCCCUAAAACAUCACUUCUACUGGAAGUUGAACAUGAAGCCAGGAGUUGGAGUAACCAUCCUGACUCUAUUAAGGAGGCUGUACCUUGAGAAUAGCAGUUACAAGACAGAAGACUAGGUCCCUGAUGUCUUCAAGUAGAGCAGCCAGCCUGGACAUAAGAAAUACAUUUGUCAUAUUAAAAUAUGCUGUAGUAGUAAACCCAAAAUGUAUAUCCUAAUACAUAAUUUAUACCUAAAAGUAAGAUGAUAUUGUAAUAAAACCUAUAACAAGAGGCAUUGGCAGUCAGGCAGCAGGUGAUGAGCAUAUUGUAGACUGUAACACUGGCAACUCUUCUGCUUGGCUCAACACUUCGUAAAACUGUCACCAUAUGAUCCCUUAAAAUUUAGACCACAUCCAUGUAGAGCCUAUAGCUCUAUGGUAGUGUUUCUAAAUAUGUGUCAUAUUUGAAUUUCCAGUAAAGCAAUUUUUCUGUGGUUCAAGAAUGCCUUGGGCAUUUGAGGAUGUUCAGUAUUUUUGCUUGUAACACGUGAAAUGCUCA